UACGUAGGGGGCUAGCGUUAUCCGGAAUUACUGGGCGUAAGGGGUGCGUAGGUGGUUUCUUAAGUCAGAGGUGAAAGGCUACGGCUCAACCGUAGUAAGCCUUUGAAACUGGGAAACUUGAGUGCAGGAGAGGAGAGUGGAAUUCCUAGUGUAGCGGUGAAAUGCAUAGAUAUCACGCAGAACUCCGAUUGCGAAGGCAGCGUACCGGCAUCCAACUGACGCUGAGGCACGAAAGCGUGGGGAUCAAACAGG
rnacentral:rRNA from 1 species